rnacentral:rRNA from 1 species
UGGGAUGAAAGGUUUUAUAUUUAAGGCAAUUUGUUAUUUAGUAAUAUCGAAUUUUUAGUGGGAGUAAAAAUACUUUUAUGUUUAAGAGAGACGAUAAGACCCUAAAAUCUUUAUCUCUGGGGAGAUUGCUUAUCUUUAUAGGGGUUUUGUUUGGGGUAAAUAUUUUUAAAGUAUAAAAUAAUGUGUUACUAUUGUGUGUGAGAAUCUUAUAUUGGGUUGUUGGUGUAAGUUACUUUAGGGAUAACAGCGUAAUUUUUUAUCGGAAAAGGUAUUUAUUAAAUUUUUACGACCUCGAUGUUGAAUUAAAAUUUCCUUUUGUGG